rnacentral:rRNA from 1 species
AUGCCGGCUGGGACGCGAUCUCAGACUUGGUUGGCUCCUACGGUUGGCAAUGCAAAGAUGAACGUGGAUGCUGCUGUGUCUAGCAAUGGAUUCGGGGCUGUAGGUGCAAUUUGCAGAGAUGAUAGUGGCAUGUUCUUGGGGGCCUCAACACUCUAUUUCAACCACAUUGUUGAUCCGACGACUUUGGAAGCACUUGCCAUCAGAGAAGCCCUGGCUUUAGCGGAUGACUUGUAUGAGCGACGGAUUCAAGUGGCUUCAGACUGUAAGGUGGUGGUACAAGAUCUGAAGAUGGAUAACUCGUCAAGCUACAGUGCCAUUGUACAUGAGAUAAUAGAACGCUCGUCGUUAUUUGAUUUUUGCACUUUUAGUCAUGAACCUAGGAGCUCAAAUUAUAAAGCUCACAACUUAGCGAAGCAUGCUUUAUCUCUUGGUAGUGGCCGACAUGUGUGGUUGGGGCAUCCCGGGAAUUUACCUUCCGUCCCUGUAAACAUUGUGACGAUUUAA